rnacentral:tRNA from 1 species
GGAGAGGUGUCCGAGUGGUUGAAGGUGCCGCUCUCGAAAUGCGGUGUGGACUAAACAUCCACCGUGGGUUCGAAUCCCAUCCUCUCCGCCA